AAGAGUUCUCAACCACACUGGUUCUUUCUGGUGUGGCUUGGAUUUGAGGGAUUUUUGCAGGCUUUUUAAAAUACGAGUCGGCUCCCUUGAAAAUGAUUAGCGGUAUCUGAGCAUAUGGUGGGGUGUGAUUAAACAUCUAUUGCCUUGGUGUAUGCAAGAUUUUGCUUGUGGAUUUUGAUGAAUGAAUA
rnacentral:misc_RNA from 2 species